rnacentral:tRNA from 3 species
GUGGUUUUAGUUUAUAAAAACAUUUGCCUUGCAAGCAGAAGAUCUAAAAGUAAUUUAGACUCCACA